GACGAACGCUGGCGGCGUGCCUAAUACAUGCAAGUAGAACGCACAGUUUAUACCGUAGCUUGCUACACCAUAAACUGUGAGUUGCGAACGGGUGAGUAACGCGUAGGUAACCUGCCUGGUAGCGGGGGAUAACUAUUGGAAACGAUAGCUAAUACCGCAUAAUAUUGAUUAUUGCAUGAUAAUUGAUUGAAAGAUGCUAUUGCAUCACUACCAGAUGGACCUGCGUUGUAUUAGCUAGUAGGUGAGGUAACGGCUCACCUAGGCGACGAUACAUAGCCGACCUGAGAGGGUGAUCGGCCACACUGGGACUGAGACACAGCCCAGACUCCUACGGGAGGCAGCAGUAGGGAAUCUUCGGCAAUGGACGAAAGUCUGACCGAGCAACGCCGCGUGAGUGAAGAAGGUUUUCGGAUCGUAAAGCUCUGUUGUAAGAGAAGAACGGGUGUGAGAGUGGAAAGUUCACACUGUGACGGUAUCUUACCAGAAAGGGACGGCUAACUACGUG
rnacentral:rRNA from 1 species